UUUUAGUAAACUCAGUCCCCUUAGCCCCUAAGCUGCUCUUUCAAAGAGAAAAAGGUAAAGGAUUUGGGAAGAAGGAUCAGCUGCCUGGCCACCGCCAGUCCUCCACAGUUCUAUCCUAUGGUUCCCUGACUGGGAACAGCAGACGAGAGACUCCUGGGCCCUCCCAGUAUGAGUCCCCUGCCGUUCAGGACCAGGACCAGACUGCAUCCUGCAUUAAUUCCUCACUUCUACACUCGGGAGCUGUAAACUUGUUGCUGCUGACUCACAAACAACACCAACCCAAUUUACCGCAGGAAAUGCCAGCACUGCCAGAUUCAUCGCUGACAGAUCUGCUUAAACUUGCUGCCGAAGACUGA
rnacentral:lncRNA from 1 species